rnacentral:rRNA from 1 species
AUGAACGCUGGCGGCGUGCCUCAUACAUGCAAGUCGAGCGAACAGACGAGGAGCUUGCUCCUCUGACGUUAGCGGCGGACGGGUGAGUAACACGUGGAUAACCUACCUAUAAGACUGGGAUAACUUCGGGAAACCGGAGCUAAUACCGUAUAACAUGUUGAACCGCAUGGUUCAACAGUGAAAGACGGUCUUGCUGUCACUUAUAGAUGGAUCCGCGCCGCAUUAGCUAGUUGGUAAGGUAACGGCUUACCAAGGCAACGAUGCGUAGCCGACCUGAGAGGGUGAUCGGCCACACUGGAACUGAGACACGGUCCAGACUCCUACGGGAGGCAGCAGUAGGGAAUCUUCCGCAAUGGGCGAAAGCCUGACGGAGCAACGCCGCGUGAGUGAAGAAGGUCUUCGGAUCGUAAAACUCUGUUAUUAGGGAAGAACAAAUGUGUAAGUAACUAUGCACGUCUUGACGGUACCUAAUCAGAAAGCCACGGCUAACUACGUG